rnacentral:rRNA from 1 species
AGACCGAUAGCGAACAAGUAGAGUGAUCGAAAGAUGAAAAGCACUUUGAAAAGAGGGUUAAAAAGUACGUGAAAUUGUUGAAAGGGAAGCGCCUGUGACCAGACUUGCGCCUCGCGGACCACCCGGCGUUCUCGCCGGUGCACUCUGCGUGGCGCAGGCCAGCAUCGGUUCUCCCAGGGGGACAAAGGCCGCGGGAACGUAGCUCCUUUGGGAGUGUUAUAGCCCGCGGCGGCAUGCCCCUGGGGGGACCGAGGACCGCGCUUCGGCAAGGAUGCUGGCGUAAUGGUCACCAGCGACCCGUCUUGAAACACGGACCAAG